GGAAGAAAGCAGACAGAGAGGAAAGAGACCGUAGUAGCCCAAAGCGCUGCCCACAGAAUAGAAGCCAUAGUGGGCAGCAGGAGGAAAGUGGCCACCUAAAAUGAGAUGGUUAGUGCAGGACAGAAAGUCCCAGAAGCCAGGCACAGAAAGCUUAAGGAAAGGAGAGGGGAAACGAUAUAAUUCCUUUUUGUCUAAAACUGGACCUAUUUAAUUUGUUUUUAAAUAAAAUAAAAACUGCUGCGGUGAGGGUAGGGAAGAAGUAAUCUUCUUUAUGGGGAAGGGAGUGGGGAGCAGGGAGUGGAGUUUUUGUGCAGAGAACAGUAAUCAAUAUUCAAAAUCUUACUUCUUAAUACACCGAUGGAUUGAAUUCAGGCUUUAGCAUAAUUUAAUUAAAUGGACUAUUGUUUUUCUUUCUCACUGGUUGUAGUGAGAGCGCUACAAGUCUGAGGUGAGCAGGAUUAUGUACUAAUUGAAGUAGAUCUAUCUGCCUCAAAGCCAACGAGGACUCUGCAAACAGACUGAGAAAGCUUUUGUAUCAGUUUCAUAUUCAGCAGGGUGUGGGUGCACAGAAGGAUGCACGUUACCUGCUUGGUUUCCAGUUUCUAGAAAACGGGGCAACACGUUGGGUAUUGUGUCACCACAAAGUGAGGGGUAGGAGAGAAAGGCGAGGAACACUGCAGAGACGUGACCCUUCAUGGUGAAGGACCU
rnacentral:lncRNA from 1 species